GCCCCUUGGCCCCAGUGCUCAUUCCUGGCCAUCACAGGCCCAGAGCACAUGACGAAACCCAUCCCAAGCCCCCAGACCAGACGCCAAGAGGAGGGGGUGGAGGCAGCAAGGCUGGAGGCAUGUGUAGAAUAAAUAGAACUUUAUUCUUUAUCCAGUAGAUCUCAGUGGAAAGCCCAACAGUAACAGGUGCACCCACGGGCUCCAGGGGAAGGGGCCCCAACCCCUGGUGAAGGAGGCCGGGGGUGGGGGCAGCUCGGGCCCCUGGCCAGCCCCUUCACAGUGGGGGCUGGGGAGCCUAGAUGAUGUGGGCCCUGACGGGAGGCAGCUCUGCCGAGGAGCCAGGUCUGGGAAAACUCUGUCCCGGGGCCCUUGCUCUGCCCUGCUCCAUCGAGAAUUAAUACCUGGGGUUGGUAUG
rnacentral:lncRNA from 1 species